UACGGGGGGGGCAAGCGUUGUCCGGAUUUACUGGGCGUAAAAGGUUCGUAGGUGGCUCGUCCAGUCGAGCGUGAAAUCUCCCGGCUCAACUGGGAGAGGUCGUUCGAUACUAGCGGGCUCGAGGUCGGUAGAGGGAAGCGGAAUUCCGGGUGUAGUGGUGGAAUACGUAGAUAUCCGGAGGAACGCCGGUGGCGAAAGCGACACACUGGAUCUUGUCUGACGCUGAGGCACGAAAGCCAGGGGAGCGAACGGG
rnacentral:rRNA from 1 species